rnacentral:rRNA from 1 species
UACAGAGGGGGCAAGCGUUGUUCGGAAUUACUGGGCGUAAAGGGCGCGUAGGCGGCCCGCUAAGUCGAACGUGAAAUCCCCGGGCUCAACCCGGGAACUGCGUCCGAUACUGGUGGGCUCGAAUCCGGGAGAGGGAUGCGGAAUUCCAGGUGUAGCGGUGAAAUGCGUAGAUAUCUGGAGGAACACCGGUGGCGAAGGCGGCAUCCUGGACCGGUAUUGACGCUGAGGCGCGAAAGCCAGGGGAGCAAAGCGGG